rnacentral:rRNA from 1 species
AACGAACGCUGGCGGCAGGCCUAACACAUGCAAGUCGAACGAGAAGCAGUCCUUCGGGAUUGUGGAAAGUGGCAGACGGGUGAGUAACGCGUGGGAAUCUACCCAGUGGUACGGAAUAACUCAGGGAAACUUGGGCUAAUACCGUAUGUGCCCGCAAGGGGAAAGAUUUAUCGCCAUUGGAUGAGCCCGCGUCUGAUUAGCUUGUUGGUGGGGUAACGGCCCACCAAGGCGACGAUCAGUAGCUGGUCUGAGAGGAUGAUCAGCCACACUGGGACUGAGACACGGCCCAGACUCCUACGGGAGGCAGCAGUGGGGAAUAUUGGACAAUGGGCGCAAGCCUGAUCCAGCCAUGCCGCGUGAGUGAUGAAGGCCCUAGGGUUGUAAAGCUCUUUCGCACGCGAAGAUAAUGACGGUAGCGUGACAAGAAGCCCCGGCUAACUUCGUG